rnacentral:rRNA from 1 species
GACGAACGCUGGCGGCGUGCCUAAUACAUGCAAGUCGAACGAGAGCAACCGGUGCUUGCACUGGUCAAUCUAGUGGCGAACGGGUGAGUAACACGUGGGUAACCUGCCCAUCAGAGGGGGAUAACAUCCGGAAACGGAUGCUAAAACCGCAUAGGUCUUCAAACCGCAUGGUUUGAAGAGGAAAAGAGGCGCAAGCUUCUGCUGAUGGAUGGACCCGCGGUGCAUUAGCUAGUUGGUGAGGUAACGGCUCACCAAGGCCGUGAUGCAUAGCCGACCUGAGAGGGUGAUCGGCCACAUUGGGACUGAGACACGGCCCAAACUCCUACGGGAGGCAGCAGUAGGGAAUCUUCCGCAAUGGACGCAAGUCUGACGGAGCAACGCCGCGUGAGUGAAGAAGGUUUUCGGAUCGUAAAACUCUGUUGUUAGAGAAGAACAAGUGCUAGAGUAACUGUUAGCGCCUUGACGGUAGCUAACCAGAAAGCCACGGCUAACUACGUG